UACGAAGGGGGCUAGCGUUGCUCGGAAUCACUGGGCGUAAAGCGCACGUAGGCGGAUCUUUAAGUCAGGGGUGAAAUCCCGGAGCUCAACUCCAGAACUGCCUUUGAUACUGAAGAUCUUGAGUUCGGGAGAGGUGAGUGGAACUGCGAGUGUAGAGGUGAAAUUCGUAGAUAUUCGCAAGAACACCAGUGGCGAAGGCGGCUCACUGGCCCGAUACUGACGCUGAGGCACGAAAGCGUGGGGAGCAAACAGG
rnacentral:rRNA from 1 species